rnacentral:tRNA from 1 species
UCAAGAAGUAGUUUAAAUAGAAUAUCAGCUUUGGGUGUUGAUGGUGGGGAAAUAAUUCCUUCUUCUUGAU